GAUGAACGCUGGCGGCGUGCCUAAUACAUGCAAGUCGAGCGGACAGACGAGGAGCUUGCUCCUCUGUCGUUAGCGGCGCACGGGUGAGUAACACGUGGAUAACCUACCUAUAAGACUGGGAUAACUUCGGGAAACCGGCGCUAAUACCGGAUAAUAUAUUGAACCGCAGGGUGCGAUAGUGAAAGACGGUUUUGCUGUCACUUCUAGAUGGAUCCGGGCCGCAUGAGCUAGUUGGUAAGGUAACAGCUUGCCAAGGCAACGAGGCGUAACCGACCUGAGGGGGUGAUCGGCGACACUGGAACUGAGACGCCGUCCAGGCUCCUACGGGAGGCAGCAGUAGGGAAUCUUCCGCAGUGGGCGGAAGCAUGACGGAGCAACGCCGCGUGAGUGAUGAAGGUCCUCGGAUCGUAAAACUCUGUUAUUAGUGAAGAACAAAUGUGUAAGUAACUGUGGACGUCGUGACGGUACCUAGUCAGAAAGCCCCGGCUAACUACGUG
rnacentral:rRNA from 1 species